GGGAGGCUGGCGGCGGACGGAACCUUCGCCAACCCGGCUAGGGCCGAAAGGCAGCAACCGUAACGAAAUUCGUUCCGGGUCGUUGUUCAGCCUCCCACC
rnacentral:SRP_RNA from 1 species